UACGGAGGAUGCGAGCGUUAUCCGGAUUUAUUGGGUUUAAAGGGUGCGUAGGCGGACUGUUAAGUCAGCGGUAAAAGCCCGGGGCUCAACCCCGGCGAGCCGUUGAAACUGGCUGUCUUGAGAUGUCGAGAGGUAUGCGGAAUGCGCAGUGUAGCGGUGAAAUGCUUAGAUAUUGCGCAGAACUCCGAUUGCGAAGGCAGCAUACCGGCGGCGAUCUGACGCUGAGGCACGAGAGCGUGGGUAUCGAGCAGG
rnacentral:rRNA from 1 species